rnacentral:rRNA from 1 species
UACCAGCACCCCGAGUGGUCGGGACGUUUUAUUGGGCCUAAAGCAUCCGUAGCCGGUUCUACAAGUCUUCCGUUAAAUCCAUCUGCUUAACAGAUGGGCUGCGGAAGAUACUAUAGAGCUAGGAGGCGGGAGAGGCAAGCGGUACUCGAUGGGUAGGGGUAAAAAUCCGUUGAUCCAUUGAAGACCACCAGUGGCGAAGGCGGCUUGCCAGAACGCGCUCGACGGUGAGGGAUGAAAGCUGGGGGGAGCAAACCGG